AGUGAACGCUGGCGGUAGGCCUAACACAUGCAAGUCGAACGGCAGCACAGUAAGAUCUUGCUCUUACGGGUGGCGAGUGGCGGACGGGUGACGAAUACAUCGGAAUCUACUUUUUCGUGGGGGAUAACGUAGGUAAACUUACGCUAAUACCGCAUACGACCUACCGGUGAAAGCAGUGGAUCUUCGCACCUUGCGCGAUUGAAUGAGCCGAUGUCGGAUUAGCUAGUUGGCGGGGUAAAGGCCCACCAAGGCGACGAUCCGUAGCUGGUCUGAGAGGAUGAUCGGCCACACUGGAACUGAGACACGGUCCAGACUCCUACGGGAGGCAGCAGUGGGGAAUAUUGGACAAUGGGCGCAAGCCUGAUCCAGCCAUACCGCGUGGGUGAAGAAGGCCUUCGGGUUGUAAAGCCCUUUUGUUGGGAAAGAAAAGCAGCAGGUUAAUACCCCGCUGUUCUGACGGUACCCAAAGAAUAAGCACCGGCUAACUUCGUG
rnacentral:rRNA from 1 species